rnacentral:ncRNA from 3 species
GGUCUCCAAGGUGAACAG